AGCCUGCAACGUCAGACGCUCUGCUGAAUCCUUUAUUAUCUAUCUUUCCAGCCAGCAGCUGAUGAGAGAUUGCGUGUGUGCUGACUCUCAGCUCUUUCAAAUCAUGUUGAUUCGAAACUCAGCUGAUCCGGAAGGGGCCGGUCCUCCAUGUUGGCCAUUUCAGGUCGGCUCCAUAAAGGAUGCAGAGGGUGGAUUUUCGUGGUGGAAACACACGGCUGAUAUUCACAAAGCUAGUCCAUCCAGGCACAUGAGAACAGUGAAAUAUGGACAUGGCCUCUUUGCCUCUCCUGCACGCCCAGUGCUUUGAAGAGUGCCUGGCACAGGCAUCCAGGGAUGCUGUUCCCGGGCGGGCUGCGAACCCGGUGCUGUGACCCUGGCUCGGGCCUGUGUGCUCUGAUCCCUUUGCAAGAGACAAGAUCAGUUAUGUGAUGCCAAAUGCUGGUGAUCCUUCAGGAAUUUAAGGAAAUAAUGAUGGAUUUAACUACGAAAUUGUUCUUGACAUCAUUGUUUCCAAUCCCCAAGAAGCAGAUGCGAUCUAAAUAGCAAAUGCGAGAGUAAAUAAAAUAGAAAAACGUCGCUCUCAUAAAACACUGUCAAUAUCAAUUUUGGUCAAUCUGUGAGGUUAAAAAAUGACAAUCCAA